CCAGGACUGACUCCUGCAGAACCCCACUAGAUAUGUCCCCCUGGUUUGACAGUGUACCAUUGAUAAUUAUUUGCAGAGUGUGGUCUUUCAGCAAGUUGUCCACCUUAUACUAAUUUAAUGUAGACCACACUUCCUUAGUUUGCUUAUAAGAAUAUCAUGUGGGACUAUGCCAAAGCCUUACUAAAAUCAAGAUAUAUCAUAACUAUUGUUUCCUCAUAUCCACUAGGCAAUAACCCUGUCAAGGAAGGAAAUUAGUUUGGUUAGGUUUGUUUUGACAAAUCCCUGCUGGUAUUCCUUAUAACCCUAUUAUCCUCCAGGUGCUUACAAAUUGAUUGUUUAAUAAUUUGUUCCAGUACCUUUCCAGGUAUCCAAGUUAGGCUGAUAGGGCUAUAAUUCUCUUAUUCCUCUUUGUUCCCCUUUUUAAAGAUAGUUCCUUAACAAUUUGUCCAU